rnacentral:lncRNA from 1 species
CCGGUACAGGGGAAACGUGGGCGGCGGGCGCGCUGACCGUGCGGCCUUGCGGCCUUUGCAGGGAGAGCCAGGUGGAGCUCCGCGAGCAGAUCGACAACCUCGCCGCGGGUGAGUGGGCGGCCCGCGGACCCAGGCAGGACCUUCGGUUCCCCGUGCCCGGCCGGGUCUCUGCCCCUUGGCCCCAGGACGUCGGGGCCCUUGGGACAGGGAGUGAAAGGAAGUGGGGGAAGGACGGGACGAUUCCGCCUUCCUAAGAGCAGGAGGUGAGCUGCCAGACGUCUGUUGCUCUUCCGUCCCCAGAAUUGUGCCGCAUCAACGAGGACCAGAAGGUGGCCUUGGAUCUCGACCCCUACGUUAAGAAGCUGCUCAACGCCCGGCGACGGGUUGUUCUGGUCAACAACAUCCUACAGAAUGCCCAGGUAAACGAAGUCCCUGCUUCAAGUCCUCAACACAAUGAGUCACGACUUUUUAAAAAUUGGGGGGAAGGGAGUGGUCAACUAGCGUCAGUAAGACUCAGUGCU